rnacentral:rRNA from 1 species
AACGCCAGGGUAUUACGAGCCUUAGCUUAAAACCCAAAGGACUUGACGGUACCCCACCCAACUAGAGGAGCCUGUUCUAUAAUCGACAAUCCACGUUAUACCUAACCAUUUCUUGCCUCAGCCUGUAUACCUCCGUCGUAAGCUUACCCUGUGAAUGCACAAUAGUAAGCUCAAAAGCCCAACGCCCAAACGUCAGGUCAAGGUGCAGCCCAUGAAAUGGAAGCAAUGGGCUACAAUUUCUAACCAGAACAAACAGAAUACUACAUGAAACGUAGUUAUAAAGAAGGAUUUAGUAGUAAAUAAGGAGUAGAGAGCCUUAUUAAACCUAGCUCUGGGGUG